ensembl:lncRNA
AGAGAGAUAGGUUUACAUAGUAAGGCUGGGCUAUGAGUCCUGGGAGCCGAAGCUGACGCAAACCCAGGUCAUUGCAACACCCAACACUGGAGCUGCUGUAACAGAGCUGCAGAGCAAAGCUGGCAGAAGGGUCUGGGUAAAGAUACCAAUGGAAAGCGUUUCACCUUUUCUUCUCAAGAGGGCAGAGGUCCUAAUGAGGGCACUAUUCCACAUAUAAAAGUGAUAUCUGAGUGACAAAGAAUUGACACUUUUGAACUGUGGUGUUGGAGAAGACUCUUGAGAGUCUCUUGGACUGCAAGGAGAUCCAAUCAGUCCAUCCUAAAGGAAAUCAAUCCUGAAUAUUCACUGGAAGGACUGAUGCUGAAGCUGAAACUCCAAUACUUUGGCCACCUGAUGUGAAGAACUGACUCACUUGAAAAGACCCUGAUGCUGGGAAAGAUUGAAGGUGGAAGGAGAAGAGGAUGACAGAGGAUGAGAUGGUUGGAUGGCAUCACGGAUUUGAUGGACAUUAGUUUGAGCAAGCUCCAGGAGUUAGUGAUGGACAGGGAAGCCUGGUGUGCUGCAGUUCAUGGGGUCGCAGAGUCAGAUACGACUGAGCAACUGAACUGACAACAUUUAUCACAUACAUAUACACGUGUGUGUGUGUGUGUGUGUGUGUGUGUAUUAGUCACUCAGUCGUGUCCAACUUUUUGUGACCCCAUGGAUUGGGGCCCACCAGGCUCCUCCGUUCAUGGGAUUUUCCAAGCAAGAAUACUGGAGUGGGUUGUCAUUCCCUUCUCCAAGGGAUCUUCCUGACCCAGGGAUCGAACCCAGGUCUCCCAUAUUGCAAGCAGGCUCUUUACCUCCUGACCCACUGGGGAAGACUAUAUAUAUUUUUUUAAUUGAAGUAUAUAUACCAUAUAUUUUGAAAAGUUACACGUAUCAGUUUUAUCUAAUAUAUGUAAAUAAGUCUUAAAUAUUCAACUGGCACUCCCGCUUCACUCCCAGUGGAACCCACUUUCAACUUCUUUGCUGUUUUUACUAGUAAUUAUUGACAUAUUUUUAUAGGAUAGUAAUGCUAUUUCUUAAUAUACUUUAAAUAUCUUCUGAACGCCUCCCGCUACAGAAGGUAAAGUAUGUCAUGCCACUCUCUCACACACACACAACUCCCCUUUCCUGCUUCAUCCCCUCCAUGUAAACUUAUUAUAAUUUUUGGCUAAAUCAGCUGUUGUUUACAUUACUAUGUCCAGUAAAGAUUCCCUGUUUAACC